CUCAGUGCUACGUACACCGGUCGCAGGCGCGCGCUCACGUACUACCUAGCAGGCGCACACUCGCGCGCGCGAGGCUGCGCUCGCUCAGCAGACGGCUUGCUUGCAGGUUAACCUGAAGACUGCACCUGAGCGAUGGUAUUCACUGCUACUGUGUCCACAAGACGCACCCAGACCUCAUAGAACCGGCUGUCAGCCCGAACAUUGAGAUGCAGCUGGCAGUGGUGAGGGCGGUGCUGUUAGUGGCGCUGGUGCUGGUGGGUGGUGGCGGGUGCUCGCAGCACUCACGGCCGCCGUCGUGCUCUGCGCAGCUGGGUUCGCUGCACAGCGUGGUG